rnacentral:rRNA from 1 species
AUACGGAAGGUCCGGGCGUUAUCCGGAUUUAUUGGGUUUAAAGGGAGCGCAGGCGGAGAUGCAAGCGUGACGUCAAAUUUCGGGGCUCAACCCCGUCUCGCGUCGCGAACUGCGUCCCUUGGUUGCGGGAAGGGGAGACGGAACUCGUGGUGUAGCGGUGAAAUGCAUAGAUAUCACGAAGAACUCCGAUCGCGAAGGCAGCCUUCCGGCCCGUCAACGACGCUCAUGCUCGAAGGUGCGGGUAUCAAACAGGAUUAGAUACCCUGGUAGUCCGCACAGUAAACGAUGGACACCCGCGGUUUGGCCUAUAUGGCUGAGCCGCCAAGCGAAAGCGUUAAGUGUCCCACCUGGGGAGUACGCCGGCAACGGUGAAACUCAAAUGAAUUGGCGGGG